rnacentral:tRNA from 1 species
GUGAGGCCUUAGCUUAAAUAAAGUGUCUGAUUUGCAUUCAGGAGUUGUAUAGUAUAAUUUUACAGGUCUU